ensembl:lncRNA
CUGAGAGGGAGGAAAAGACAGACCAGGAAUAGUGUUUCUAUGUUAGGAUCAUGGCUUUACUGGGCCAUUCCAAAAAGACACCAGGCCCUGUCUGUGAAGAGCUUCUUCCUGGUUUUCAUUGGCCUCUUCCAGAUUGCAAAAUGCUGGCAGAUGUUACCCUUGUUAAAUGCACUAGAUUUAUUUUAUUUUAUUUUAGCCUGACUAAGAAUGUUUAGAUCUUUACCUAGGAAUGGAAAGCUGAAGGCUGUUCAUCAGAAGUGGUAAUGGAAGGAGGCUGCAGGGUGGCUCACAAAAAACCCCAGAAUUUGUGCCAGAUGCUGUGGGAGUCUAGUGUGCCAAGACCCCCCACUCCUGCUGUGAUGAGCAACCGGAAUUGAAGGCAGACAGAGCCCACGAACAAAUUUAUACAAAGAGCUUAUAGAUCACAAGUGAAGAGUGUGUGCCUGAGUUUCCAGGCUGCAGGCAUACAUGGCUUGAUGAGCUAGCGCUAACUGAGCAGUUAUGGUCAUAUUCCUCAGAGCAGUGCUAAGUGGAAAAGUCAUUUAUUUUCUCCAGCCUUUCCUGUCAACCCGUCCUGCAACUGCUGAAUUAGAGUAGGAGAAAUACUUUUUAAGAUAUGCACUCUCAAAAAUAAUGUAAACUGUCCACCCUGUUGAUUCAUUUUUAUCAACAGAUGAAUUUCAGUUUUAAAGCCAGUUCUGGGAUUCUAAUUCUUCUAAACAGAAUGAGGCGUCACGUAUUGCAUUUAUGGAUCUAAAUACAAGCUUCAUACCACAUUAAUAGCUGGGGAUUCUUUUAGCAAAUGUCUUGAUGAACUGGUGUGAAAAUGUUUCCAUUCAAGCCAAAUACCUGCUUUGUGGCAUAGCUGCUUGUGAACAUCUCUACUUGCAUUAUGUGAAGUUUUUGAACAGACUAUUUGGAUGAAUACUUUAUUAAGCCUUCUUUUUGGAUGCAAGAAAACUGUUCUUCAGGGAGUCUUUCAACUGGCAUUUCUUCCUAAGGUCCCAGUUUGACCGCUUAUUGAGUGUUUGUACCAGAGCAUCAGAACAAAGAGCCUGUGAACCAAGAAAAGUGGAGUUGCUCUUGAAUCUCUUGAAAUACCCCUGUAUCUUCUGCACUCUCUUACACAGGAUAUGAUUGAGACAAAGUAGGUUCACUACUUCGGGUUCACUACAUAGAGGUACCAACUACAGCUUCCCCUGAGGUUGCAUGAAACUUGGUCAGAGAAAUCAAAAGCAGACUUGUGCAAAGGUGGUCAUUUUUUGGCAAUUAUUUCCUCAGAAGAACUUCUUCAUUACAGCUGAAGACUGGAGAUUGAAAAUGUAAUUGUUGGCUCCGCUUGUGGUCUAGCAGGAUGCUCAAGUGCUAUCCUGAGCUGCUUUAGGCACUAAAACCUCUUGACCUUCCAUCUGGAACAAUUACAUGGAGUUCUGCAUAAGAGGCACAUCUGCUACUCAAGCUGAGACUUUGUUGCAUGAGGACUGCCAUUCCCAGUUCAGAAGACAUUGGCUUAUCCAACCAAGUUAUAACUCCAGUUUCCUUUUUACAAACAUCUGUUUGGAGACUGUGAAGUCUCCCUGGAUGUGAGGCAGUAGAAAGCUGCUUCAGACAUUUUCAUGCGGUAGCCAAUUUCCUAUCUGAAAUUCUGCAAGCUCAAUGACAUUACUUACUCACUGUAGCGUUGCUUGUUUCUGCAAAAUCCUUAAAUGACUAUUUCAUAAAUUGAAGAAAAGAGUCAGGAUACUACAAAAAAGAAAAAUUUGAACUCAGUAUUAUUUCCUCAGUAUGAUAGGUCUGUGUGUUACAGUUCUUGUUAGGCAGCAGAAAGAAUAUUGUGUGAAAUACCUGAGCAGUAAGAAAAUGUUUCUAAUAGUGUUACAAAAAUUACUCUCUUGGCAGUGGCUGUCUUUUACGUAUGGUUGGAAAGAGACCUUACUUAGAUAAACACAGUGCAGUGUUGGAAAACAAAGCUGUAAAAAAUUUUAGCAGGUUUUCUUAAUGAGUAUAAAAAUUAAAUUAUUGCCACCAACACUUUAUCAGAAACAUUCAUUAACAGUAUAAAAUAUUGUACUCUCCGUAAGUAAAGAAGCAUUAUUUUUACUUGCCAGUGUUUUCUGAUGUGGGAAGUCUUUGUCCAAGCACCUUCAUGUCCUUCACAGCUUGUCUGUUGUGAUGUUGGUGAGACUGAUGGAGGUCACACCCUACAGGACCUAGAGGAAAUGCAAUUAGUGCCAUCACCUUCAGAGAAGCCACUUAGUCGCUUAAAGAUAGUUGUAAGUUAUUGUCCUGAAAGAAGAUCUUUGCUGUGGAGCCACUUCAAGGAGCUAUUAACUCAGCCACAGCUGCUAAAG